UUAGCAUUGCACGGAUAUCCAGCUCACACACAGAGAACACAAUAUUUUUUACGUUGAAAAUUCGGAAAGGGAAAAAACCACGGGGCCUAGCACAAUUGAAAAUGAUUCAACUAAAAUUUGAGGAAAGUACAAUGGUCUGACUCGUCCUUGAAGAUGACCAGAUUACAAAUAUCAACUGAGAGUUUUGUUAAAGUCCAACGUCACACCACUGUCAGGUGGUGGGCCGGCAGCACUUCGGUGUCAAGCGGUCGAUCGGUAGUGGCACUUCAGUGUCAGGGGGUACUUCAGCUUUGGAUGGCACUUCGGCGUCCCUUGGUGGUCCAACGAUGGUGCGGUAGCACUCCGGCGUCCCUUGGUGGUCCGGCGGUAGUGCGGUAGAACUACGGUGGUGGUGCGGCAGUACUUAGGCGGUGGUGCGGCAGCACUCUGGCAUCCCUUGGUGGUUCGGCGGUGGUGCGACAGAUCUACAACGGUGGUGCGACAGAUCUACAACGGUGGUGCGGCAGCACUCCGACGUCCCUUGGUAGUCCGGCAGUGGUGCGGCAGAACUACGGCAAUGGUGCGGCAAUACUCCGGUGGUGUUCGAGGAGGAGCUAAGCGGCUGUAGCUUUCUUCCUUCUCUUCCUUCUUCUCUCUUGCCUUCUUCCCCCACUAUUUUUGGACGUCGAAAUAUUGAAAUUAUACAAGUAUUUCUUGGACCUUGCAAUAUUUGAUGUCCAAAAAUAGGGGGGCAACUGAUAUGUCACCAAAAAAUAGUCUUGAUCCAGCACGAAUCUCGAGGCAAAAUCAAGUUGGAAACUUCCAAAAUUAAAAAUGGGAUCAUCUAAACUCCGAUUUAAGCAAAUUUAUAUUCGAUUUGAUCAUCUCAAAAGUACAAACCCAACGACACCAAAUUCGACACAAUCUAAGCUCAAAUGGGUCCAAAUCAAAGACAUGAAGCGCUUUUGGAAGGUUCAAACUACAAUUUGGAUUAUCAAACAGCUUCCAAACGUGGCAUGCUUAUAGUCGAAUUGAGCUGCUCGACGAGACAAAUCCAACGAGUCUAAGAUCAUCAAAUUCUGAUAUCAUUAAGCACUCAAAUGUCCGAUAAAUGCUCUAUGAUCAUAGAAAUCAAUACGGACCAUCUGAUGGAGCACUCCAAACCUACCAAUGAUCUUCUCUAUAUUUACGGGAUGUGUCACUCAUGAAAACCUAUAAAUAGACCCUCACUCUCUACAUGAAGGGAACUUUUCUUUAGAAAUUGGAGAGAGCUCUUAAGCCACUAGAGCUCCACCACAACCGUCUGGCCGUCGACCAUCGCCGGACUUUAGCCCGACAUUUGUCGGACCACCGCCCGGCUGCUGACCACCGCCGAACUUCAGCUCUACCUUCGUCGGAUCACCACCGAACGCCUCUGGACUUCCACCUAGCAGCCGAGUGACGUCGUACGCUCACCCGACUUUUCUCGGAUCUUUCCUAGUCGACCGAACUUCUGCCCGGACACUGACGGAUUUCCGCCCGAUAGUUGCCAGAUCUUGGCCUAACUCUCCAAACUAACGUAACUUGACCGCUCCUAAGUCAAGGGACGGGUCAAUAUUUGUAAUUCACUUAAACUUAGUGGAACUUUUUCACCUGGGCGAUGCCCCGUGGUUUUUCCCUCUUUGGGCUUUCCACGUAAAAAAGAUUGGGUGUUUUGCUUUCUCUCUUGCUGCUUGUGUGCUUGAUAUCUGUGCAUUACUAAGACAAGAAGUUUACUCACUCUACCGCCGCAAAUAUCUUAGCCCACAACAAGGCUCUUCUUUAGGGGAAAGACCUUGGCUUGAUAUAACAAAUAUACAUCGUAUAGAGUGCAUUUACAUGGUGAGAAUUGGAAGAAUCAGUCUUGACAUAUUCGUUUGGUUGGCAUGACCAUAAUAUAUAGCUCUUGUAUCUGCACAGCCGAGGGGACAAGAAAUUAUAGACGAUCUCUAUAAAACUACUAGAAAAGCUCAGGUGGCCAGUGGCCUUUACCGCGGGGGUAAUGAUAAGGUUGGUCUAACAACAAUGGACAAUUAUUGGAUUGUGAAAUUUGAACUGUUAACAUUUUUUUAAAAAUAUCAACAGGGAGCUACCUCUUGCUUUCAUUGAGAAGACAAAAUAGAUGCCUGACUGCAUUAUUUUCUACAGGUUUGUUAUGUACUUAUGUGAUUGUUUUUUAAGCUUCAUACUAUGUUUAAGGAUGCACCAUUAAUAAAUCAAGGAAGUUUAGUACAGAGAUUCACCAAUACUUAUGUUACACGUAAGUGUUUUCUAUCUGCUUCUAUUGAGUUAUUUUUUCGUCUAAACUUAUUGCAAUAUUUUAGUUUUUUUAGCAGAUAUGCUCGAUGCACGUGCUCGAUAUCAUUAGGUAAUUGUCAUGAAAUAUCAAAGGAAUUCGACUCAGUCGAGAUGGUAGUAAUCAAUGCGUCGUUGGGAGGGGGUAGGUGUAAAAACCAUAAGUGAUCCCCUGGGUCGACAAUUUUGGGUCUUCGAUGCAUGCCGGCAAGCUUAUUCUGAUGAGUAAUGCCCCAACUAAUGAUUCAACUUCUUAAUAUAAAUGGAAUGAGGCCACAUUUUAGAUGACGGGACAUUAGGCAAGUUAGUACAUUUGAUUUUAAAUUUAUUCUUGAACACUAUUUUUUGUUAUUGCACUUAUAUAUCUUAUAGAUCAACUACUUUAUUGAUGUUUGAAUCUUGUUCUUAAGUUUGAUGAUUCUAAAAUUUCUUAUAUGGACAUUUUAAUUGCCCUUAUAGAUGGUCAGGAAGAAUAAUCACAACGAUGAUAGUUAUGUUAACAACUUUGAUAUAUAUAUAUAUUGUAAUUGAAUUUGUCAGGUUUGAAGCACGAGUGUUAUGAUCACCAAAGAUACUUAACUUUCUAAUCAUUAUAUUUAUUAUUUUCUAAUCAGUUCACUCACCUGAGUUUUGGAGAGUUUCAAUACUUGAACAGCUUCUUCCACCUUUGCAGCAAGUGCAUCAGGCGACUCCAACAGCAAUAGCAAUUCGGAGUUAUCCAUCUCCAACAAUAUCCCAGUUAUUUUAGCAGACAGAUCUGCCUGCAUUAGCCGCAACAUAAUUUCAAUUAAUGAUCAAAAGAGCUAAGAAGUGUUGUAAUAGCUUGCAAAAUCAAAAGGCUCUAUUAACUUUAAAAAUAUAUUUAUUGUAUUUAACUUUAACAAGUUGGGUUCUGCUCGUAUGGCUGCUUCGAAUGACAAAGACUUGCAGGGCACAAGUCGGCCUGCUCAUUAUCAAGCUCUCUAUGAUGAAAACAAUUUUUCUGCGAAUGGGGUGCAGAUAUUAACCAACAAUUUAUGCUACACCUAAGAUUUGCUCGAUGCACGCGCUCAAUAUCAGUAGUUCCUCCAGCAUACUAUGCACACCUUGCAGCUUUCCGUGCUCGGUGUUACAUGGAAGGAAAGAGUGAAUCUGGAUCAACUCAACAUAGGGGAGUAACACGACAGUGAACUGCGGCUAUUUCAACGCUUCCAGCAAUCAAAGAAAACGUCAAGGAUGUGAUGUUUUGUUGUUAAAAGAUAAGCCAUGGAUGAUUUAAAGAACUAUUACCUUUUAGGUUUUUUGUUGUGCUAACAGGGAUAUAGUUUGCGCUAGCAUACGUAGAAAUACUUGGAUGUCGCAGAUAUCAUGUCUUUCAUUGUUUUUGUAGCACAUUAUUUUGAGUUUGCGAUACAUAAAAUUUGGUUUGAAUCUUUCUGUUCUUA